CCGUGCUAGGCGGGGAGUUAGCGGUGCCUUGUACCUGCAAUCCGCUACAGCAGGGCUGAAUUCCUGCCCGGAGGCUUUUUGUUGUGAGGUCUGGGCUUGGUAAGGAGUGUUGAUGGUCGGGUCCCGUGCAAUCAGGCUUUGUGAACCCUGUCAGGUCCGGAAGGAAGCAGCAGUAAGCAAAUGACCUGGUGUGCCGCGGGAUGGCCUGGCUGGAGCCACCUGCCAAGUGUCCGCUUGGAACAACGAGUCGAGGGGCGGGUGCACGG
rnacentral:SRP_RNA from 1 species